rnacentral:rRNA from 1 species
GUGUCAGCAGCCGCGGUAAUACGUAGGUGGCAAGCGUUGUCCGGAUUUACUGGGCGUAAAGAGCGCGCAGGCGGUCGGAUAAGUCGAAUGUGAAAGCCCCUGGCUCAACCAGGGAGGGUCAUUCGAUACUGUUCGACUCGAAGGCAGGAGAGGGAAGCGGAAUUCCCGGUGUAGUGGUGAAAUGCGUAGAUAUCGGGAGGAACACCAGUGGCGAAGGCGGCUUUCUGGCCUGUUCUUGACGCUGAGGCGCGAAAGCUAGGGGAGCAAACGGGAUUAGAAACCCUUGUAGUCC